GCCUCGGUGGUGUAGUGGUAGCAUUCGUCCUCGGUUUGGAUGAAACACGGGGUUCGACUCCCGUCUGAGGCC